GCGAGUGUGGUGUAACGGUUAGCAUGGAUGCCUUCCAAGCAUUCGACCCGGGUUCGACUCCCGGCACUCGCA
rfam:Macrostomum lignano uti_cns_0001743, whole genome shotgun sequence.